rnacentral:tRNA from 1 species
GCGCCUGUAGCUCAAUUUUGGAUAGAGCGACUGCCUCCUAAGCAGUAGGUUGCCCGUUCGAUUCGGGUCAGGCGCACCA